AGGAAUGUCUGUAUAUACUGGGAAAUACACUCCACAAGUUCCUGUGAAUAACCGUGGGUGGUCCUUCUUCAUGGCUUGGUCUUGCUUUCUGCUUUUCUUCAUUGCCGGUAAGUUAAAAAAAGAUAGAGCUAUUGGGGGGUGGGGGGUGGGACUUAGACUUGCAUCUCUUGCAAGGGGCAUGGAGACCAUGGCUUCUUUCUGGAGGUGGUGGCAUCUCUUGAGAGGGCCUUCUUGUUGGUUGCAAGGAAAAGAUAGGCAUUCCCUGGAUGCCGUUACCUCUUGAGCUUUUGCAAAUUUGGGGUUCCGCCUAGUCAAGUGACGCCUCUCUCUUGCAUGCAGGGGUUGUUCAGGGUGGUUAGAGAAUUGUGACAAAAAUGGAAACAGAACCAGACCUUGUGAGCUUCUCUUACUCACCCUAUGUCUGGAACAGGAAUCAGUCCCGGGAAUACAUUUUGUAUCUGCUGCUACUGUAGCUUUCAGUCCCCCGAUGAUGGCAUAGUCAAAUAUGUAUAUUUUGUAAGUUACCGCAUUUCGCCACACACUGGGCACACUGAAUAAAAUAGUUUCUGGUGGGAGAUGAACUGCAGCAGAGAAGAAAGUGUACCACAUGCGAUGAAUACUGGGUGGAAGGAAAAUGGCGCCUUCUUACAUCCCUAGGGCUAUUUCGGUGGCAUAAGGAUAAAUGCUUACUGCCUGAACUUUGGAACUGGAGGAAAUUAUUUCCUCUCCCCCCUGACAUUCUGACAAACAUUUCUCUCUCUCCCACAGCUAUAGGAAUCCUGUUUUAUCAAGUGUUCCAAGAAAUAGAAGAAGAACAGCUUGAGGACAAUGUUGUACCCCAAGGGAUGCCAAACGGCAGCUAUUCCUUGGAAACGGAAGGGGCUAAAGGCUGAGCUUUCUCAGCAUGGAUAUGGAAUGCAUCCAGAAUGAUUUGGAAUUUAUUCUCGCCCCCCCACACCGCCAC